GACGAACGCUGGCGGCGUGCUUAACACAUGCAAGUCGAACGGAAAGGCCCUGCUUGCAGGGUACUCUAGUGUCGAAAGGGUGAGUAUAACGUGGGAGAUAUCUCCUGCACACCGGGGUAUAACUGGGAAAAACGGUCUAAUACAGGAUAGGAGACCUCCUUCGUGUUGUGGUUGGUAAGUAUUUUCGGUGUAGGAUGGGCUCGCGGCCUAUUAGUUUGCUGGUGGGGUAGUGGCCUGCCAAGGAGGCGACGGGUAGCCGGCCUGAGAGGGGGGACGGCCACAUUGGGACUGGGAAACGGCCCAGACUCCUACGGGAGGCAGCAGGUGGGGAUAUUGCACAAUGGGGGCAAGCCUGAUGCAGCGACGCCGCGUGGGGGGUGACGGCCUUCGGGGUGUAAACUCCUUUCGCUAGGUACGAAGCUGUGUGUGACGGUACCUAGAAAAGAAGCACCGGCUAACUACGUG
rnacentral:rRNA from 1 species